UCAAAACAGCGGCCUUCGGGCCUCGCUGCACCCUUGUCUUUUGCGCACCGUAUUGGUUCCUCGGCGGGCUUGCCUGCCGGUUGGACAUCAUAAAACCUUUUUGUAGUUGCAAUCAGCGUCAGAAAAACAAUAAUUAUUA
rnacentral:misc_RNA from 1 species